UCCUGCAUUCGAAAGUGAUCAUGGGCUGCUUGUGCCCUGGUCAUUGAUAGUGCAGGGAGAGGAAUGGCUGAAAGAUGUUUCCCCGUGUUUGGGGGGUCCACCCAUCCCUUCCAGACCCUGUAGCUUUCCUACA
ensembl:snoRNA SNORA71 Small nucleolar RNA SNORA71